AAGGCGUUGCGAGCGCAGCUGCGCCGCGGCGGGCGCCAGCAGGAGCAUGGACCCCCGCGGCGGCGGCGGCUGGAUCUGCCUGGUGGUGCUGUGCUCCGGGGCCGCUCUCGUGCUGGUAGGAGAGGACCAGGGCGGCCGAAGCCUCGAGCAGCCCGACCGCGGCGCGGCGCCGGAGGGGGCCCCCAACUCCACCGCCGGGGAAGGGGGCGAGCCGGCGGCGUGGACGUCGGUCCCCGCGUGGGACGGUGCCACCAGCCCCUCCGCCCUGCCGCCGCGGGCCGCGGGGAACAGGAGCCGUGAGUACCCCAAUGCCGCCGGCGCGCCCCGAGCGGCCGCUCCGGGCCCCCUCGGCUCGGGGGUGUUUGCACCACCGACACCUCCCGUCUCUUCCAGAAAGCGCCUCGGCCGUUCCCGUGCGGUACUGGUCCCCCGUCAUCUUUGUGGCCGUUGCUCUGCUCGUGCUGUUCCUGACCUACAAGAGGACCAAGGGGGAAGAAAGCGGCAACCAAGUGGCCUCGGCCAGUGACUCCUCAGAUUUGGAAGAAGCAGCCGACGUCCCCGUCCACGACACGGCCCCAAUCGUCCCUCCUGCCGCGGUGAGUCCGGCCGACGGGGGGGCCGCAGCCGAAAUCCUGCCGCCUCCUCUGCCCCUGUGCGGUGGGGACGCGCGUCGGGGCUGYGCCGCGUCUCCUAAACUGCUGCCGUCCGCUGCAGGAGGAGCRGAAGGGGCCGGAGAAACCCCCACCCCGGGAUCCGACCGAAACCGUCUUCUGCGAGCCGGACGCCCCCCCGCUGCAGCCGUCCCAGGUAUUUCGACCCUCCUCGGCCGCGUCAGCCCCACGGCGUGGUUUUGGGCAAAAYGCGGGACCAAAGGGCUGUGCCGGGGGUGUCUGCACGCAGCGGUGCCCUGCGGCAUCCCGCUCCCCGUCGCGGGGCAGGGCUGACCUUGCUCCCCUCGCACCCGAGCAGCCCGUUGCCCCCGCGGCCACCAGCAGCCCCCAGCCCUGACCGAMGGCUCCCAGCACGGCCGAAGCCCCCGGAGAAAGCGGCAGCUCUGAAACGCCCCGCGGGGCGACGGGCUGCGUGACGAGGAUGCUCCCGGCCCCGCAGCCUCCUCGGCCCUUUGCAACCCCUGGCAGGAUACGACCCAGCGCGUGACACGGCCCUGCACGACGUGACCGCACGUGGCACGGCCGUGCGCGUGCAUUUACUACCGUGCACGCAAGGACGGGGGCCUGGGGCGCGCGUGACGUGCGCCGUCAAGCCAAUAAAGCAGCGUUUCACCCCA
rnacentral:lncRNA from 1 species